GAGGAUAGCAAUAAUUGUAUACAUGUGGAUAGGGCUGUGCCUAUGGGGGUGGAGGGUGACGGCCAGAACCGGGAUUUGGUGCAGGUGGCGGCGAGCGUUCAACAGGGCAAGGCGGGCACGGCGGGCACGGCGGGCACUUUUCCUUAUCUCGGUCUCCAGGAUCUCUAUCAGUGCACCAGUCGAGAACUCCUCGUGUAAAUCCCCUGAUACCCUCUCCAACAAUGUUGCCUCUCACCUCAUUCUUGCCACCAGUAUUGCUACGUUUACUCAUAGUUGCAAUGAGAAGCCAAAAAAGGCUACAACCAGCUCUUUUUUUUUUUCUUUGGGGGCCUGUCCACCUGCCUGAUACACAUGGUGAAGAUGGCAUGGCUUUAUAUAGAUAUAGAAAGAUGAAAUCAUGCGAGUCUGCUUAAACGACAAGUCUUUCUGUUAAUUACAACAAAUUGGGGAAUUUGACAAUAUUUCGUCAGGUGUUUUACAUCAGCAAUUAGCCAGAGUAAACUGAUGCACUGGAAUGGACCAGGGUGCCGAAUCUCGGCAGCCACCCGAGGCAAAUUGUUCAUCUUAUGGAUGCUGCUUUUAUCUUACAUUUUCCAUAGUGUGGAAGCUUUUAGCAACUCAAAAUAAACAGAAUUUUCUCCCAUCAAAUCAAAAGACAGCAAAAUUAGCAUCAAAGACUCAAAUCUUAUCCUCUUUAAUGGGUAUAAAUUCUGCUGCAUGCUUCUCAUUUACGCAGGUUUCAGAGUAACAUAUAACAUAUAUUGCAAGAAUCUGCCAAAGUAGAAUUCAUGUUUUGCAAUGAGAAAAGGAUAUAAAAAAGUGCAUUCAAUACUAGUGCAUUCCCUUUGCAGAAAUCCUUAUCUAUUGUUAAUUUGUAUGGAAAAGCUAGCACGUGACAAAAAAGAUGCUGACAGCGGACAUAAUGAAGGAAUAUCCCUAUCCCCACUGCGUAUUAACACAGAAGCUAUGCGCAUUGAAGCAGAUACAUUCAUUAUUGCUGCUUUUAAUGGUGCUGUAAAUGGAGUUGCUCCAGUGGUGCUCAGUUGGCUCAAGUAGGAAAGACACCGUGCUAAUUAACUGAUGCACCAGCACCCCAUCGAAUUCCACCGAUUAUGUAGCUGGCAGCUGCCUCUCCACCUGAUCUACUGCUGCAGUCUCAGAACUAUCCAGGACAUCCAAUUCCUGGGUUCCCCUCUCCCUGUCACUGUACAAAAUGGUCACUUGGUAACCAAAAGAUGUAAAAUGUUAAGAAUAUGGACAUUAAUGAUACUGGCCCGCAUAACGAUGUAUUCAAAAUUUUCAUCUUUUUUUCUUUUAUAUAUAUUUGAAGUUAGUAGAUAUUGAAACGUGAUCAUGAAAAUUAAGAAUCUUAUGCUGCUAGAAUUUGCAACUUCGGUGGUGUUUGAUCUUUCACUCGACCCGUAAAAUAUUAUUCAUUUUAAUUUAAAAAUCUUAUAAUUUUAUCUCACAAAAAAUAUUUUAUUAAUUUAAGUUUAAAUCUUUAUAUAUAUCAUAAUAAAACUUCAUAUUAUUUUGAUAUGAAAUUAAAACGUUACAAAUUUCUUCAAUUAAAACUUGAUAUCCUUAUUAAGUCUAACAUAAAACACACAAAUUUAUCAAAUAACAUCAAAUAUUAAGUAAAUCUCAUAAAAUGCACAUAAAUCUAUCGAAUCACAUCAAACAUUAUAUAAAUCUAAUACAAAAUACAUAUAAAUAAUAAGAUCACACCAGACGUUGAGACUCUAAAAAUGAGUCUCAUCGUGUAAUAUUUAAUAUUUUUUAUUUAUAUUAUAUUUAUAUUGUAUUAUAUUUUAAAUGAUCAAAUUUACAAGUAAUUUUAUUUUCAGAUUGCGAUUGGAGUAAAGUUUUCAGACAAGCUUAGCUGAAAAUGGGCCACACAAGCUUUGCCUUUGGUCUGCAACAGCAGCUAAUUAGGUCAGAAAUAAAGACAAGGGAAAGAAAAUACUAGAAAUUGAGUGGAUAAUGAUAAAGAAACUUUAGGUAAAAAAACAAAUAAAGUAAUGAUAAUCCCUAUGAGUGCCCCCAAAAUAAAGUUGAUGUUGUACUGAGAUUGCUGGGGUUAUUUUAUUUAAUUUGUUUUGGUAUCACUUGUUUUAGUGUUUUUCUUUUCGCAGUAAGGAGCGGCAUUGGGAGGGAGGGAGAGAUGUAUCAUUGUUCAUUUCCCUUGUUUAGAAAACAGUUUUACGGAUGCUAAUAGAUUGGAUGGAGGUAAAUUUUUACUCAUUUCAAAUUUAAUUCAAUUUUAUAAAUUUAAUAUUUGAAUUUGAUAUUAAAAUAUUAUUUUUAUAUUUAAAUUCAUUUUAAUUUAUAUAUAUUUAAAUUUGUAAAUCUAAAAUUAAUUAAAUAUAAAAUAUUAUUUUUUAAAUAUAAAUAUAAAAUUAUAUAUAUAAACAUAAAUAUAAAUUUAUAUAAAUAGUAAAAAAUAAUAUAUACAACAUCCUUUUACCUCCCACUCUGUACAUAUACAAAAUAUUCAACAAACUUUACAAUCCACAAUGCCGAAAAUAUAACAAGAGCUCAAAAACGGUAAAUUCAAUUCUUUUUCACUAAUGUCAAAUUUCUCUGUAUAUCCUGGAGAUAAUGCAAGACAAAAUUGAUUAAUCAUGUCAAAAAGAUAGCCUUUUUCCCUUUUCUCCUUCAGACCAACCUCCAUUUACUCUUAGUUGGUGAUAAAAAAUACUUCUUUAUACCAUAUUAAGUUACUAAUCCAACAAAAUAAUGGUAAAAGCUGCACCCAGAAACAUAUAUGCAAAGAAUCCUGGACCUCACCAAAUUUAGAAAAGCAACGAUCAGAUUUUAUUUUGAAAAGAACGGGUAUGAAAGUGAAGUUAUAAUUUUAAAACUUCAAAAGAUUAUACUAAAAUCAUAGUAUAAAUGAAAAGAAACAGGUUCCAAUUUCAGUCCCAUAGAUAAAAUCAUACAGUGCAAAAGAAACAAACUGAAAGAAGAUAACCGGAUAUUCAAGAAAAAUCAAUAAUGUAGAGAAUUAGUCACCUGAGUGUUUGAGCAGACACCAGCCAGGAGAUUUGUUUAGCUUCAAGAAACCAAAUAAAAAGGGGAAGAUGAUUGAAAGAGCUUCAGUUCAGUUGCAGGGAAAGCAGCAAUCGAUGACACUUUGGUUAGAGGGGUUUAAAGCACCUAGGGCUUUUUUUCUUUACUCUUUACCGUUGCUACUCGUUAAUUUAUGGGUUGGAUUUUGACAAGAGUAGGCCUAGCCUCCAUUGACUGGGCUUAAUAUGGGGUAGCCGGUCCUAUCAACAUCGCUAGAAGUUGAAUGAGCUUGAGUUUUCUGGCGCAAUUGAAAAAAGACAGUAACUGGGAUUCCAGCCCAGGUCUCCACGGCCACAACGUGGAAUUCUUACCACUAAACUACAGCCACGUCAUGACAAUCGGGGAACAUUAUCAAAUAUUAAUUGUUGCUACUAAUGCGAACCACGCAACACUUUCUCGCUAUCUUGUUGCGUCAUGUUGAGGUGCAGGUUCAUGGUUCCAAUCUGAUCUUUCACUACCUGAUUGCGGCAAGUUUUGCUGCCUUUGCUUCACAGAUAUGGGCUGCCAUGGACUUGUCUUUUCUAAAGAAUGACUUGCAGUGGGAGAAGUGAUAUCCAACACUAGGGGUCAAACUGUGGCCUCUGGGUCAGAAAACACUGUAGUACAGGUACUGUACCAUUUUCCAAAGAGGAAAGGAUAUCUCAUAUAUAUAUAUAUAUAUAUAUAUAUAUAUAUAUAUUCAACUUAUUAACAUAAUCAGUUUUCAAUUUUAUUUUUAUCAAAUAAACUAAAAUAAAAUGCGAUGACAAUUGCAAGAAGAGAAGCUUCUGACUAGUAGUAAUUCAUGCAAUGUGUUGAUUGGUAAAGCUACAAUAAAGUACAACAACAAUUUAUAAGAUUAAAUUAUUUCCUAUAAAAUUUGUAGUUCAAGUUGAUACAGAUAAUAAGAUGUUGAGUGAGAGUACUCAAUCGACAAAGGUGAUGAUGUAGGAUUUUCUUCUGUCUUAUUGUUCUUAUACUUGACUGCAAAGUUGCUCUUAGACUAACAAGGAGGACGGCAAGGAAUUGGAAAUGCCGGAUGGUACUGAAAUUGUGCUGGUGGUGGAGGUGUGGGUGGCGGUAGAGAUGGAGGAGGGGUGGGAGUGGGAGUGGGAGGACAACCGUAACACAGAUAUGGUCCAACAGGCUGUCCAUAUGCAGAGCCAGGAGGCUUUCUCCUGCACUUGCACCUGCCAGGGUCGGUUGUGGCUUGGUCUAAAUGAUGAUGUUUAUGUGUGACCAUGUUGUGAACCCCUCGAGCAACUCCCUGGAUAGCACCUUCGACGACAGCCAAAGGAUAGACCAUGUAACGAUCAGCUGCCCGGUGAAGCUUAUCAAAUCCAUAUUCUACAGAGUCACUCACAUGAUCCCUGACUUGAUUCCUCUUCAUGGCCUCGUUGUUUCUUCUUUCUCUUUGCUUUUGGAGGCUUGUCCACGACCUUCACACUUGUAAAGAGGAACUUAACGUUCUUCACAAUUAAAUAAAUAGAGGAAGAGGAAUAAAGUUUGUGAUUGAAAUCAAAGCUAUAUAUUCCAUAUCACUUAUCAGGAACUUACAAACGGUGUAGAGUAAUUAUUCCGGAAUCCUGACUACAUCAUCAUUCAUCAUCAUCUAACUUUGUCAGUAAAUUAAGGGCUACCAUUUGCUAAAUUCCCUACUACAUUUCUUUGAUCUUCUGCUUGAAGCCUUGAUGGUGUAAAAAAUCUUUCAUUAAUGAUUAGAUAAAAUCUGGCUUGGCCUAGAUUUGAAAGUUCAAUUGGAAACCGAUUUAUUUUUCUUUUCAAAAAGAAUUUGCAUUUAAUUCUUUUGGUACUUCAGCGAUAUAAAGUUUCAAAGAUUAGUUAGGGGAAAAUUCUUUAGCAGUGGCAUGUUUGUGUUUUUGUUUCUCUUCUGUCAAAGAUUAGUAAGGGAUUAAUCAAUUGAACUUUUCUUUGUUUCUACUUCGUUGUUGGACAGAUAAUCGUUUUACUACUGAGAUUGUCCAAAUAAUAUCUCAAAAGUAACUCGAACCAGUUGGAUGUUGGACUUGAUAAUAUUGUAAAACAAAUUUAUUGGAAGUUCAAACCAUCACCUCUUACUAAAAGCCAUUGAUAUAUAUUAUUUUCUUACAUAAGCGGAGAUCAAUCCUUGACCUCUGGUUUCAAUACUUUGAUUUUCAGAUACUAAGCUGAUGUCCAUGUACUACCAAAGUUACUAACUUUAAUUGUGCCAUUACUGUGGUUGGUCUUAUUUACGGUCCGAAUCUUUAACAUCCGAAUCUUUUGGUUAUCAGUAUUGCCCAGGGCGGCAAUAAUUAUAAGGAUAUGGUAUAGGUAGACAUGAUCAUGAUGGUGGUGGUGGUGGUGGUGGUGGUGGAGGAGGAGGAGGAGGAGGAGGAGGAGGAUAGCAAUAAUUGUAUACAUGUGGAUAGGGCUGUGCCUAUGGGGGUGGAGGGUGACGGCCAGAACCGGGAUUUGGUGCAGGUGGCGGCGAGCGUUCAACAGGGCAAGGCGGGCACGGCGGGCACGGCGGGCACUUUUCCUUAUCUCGGUCUCCAGGAUCUCUAUCAGUGCACCAGUCGAGAACUCCUCGUGUAAAUCCCCUGAUACCCUCUCCAACAAUGUUGCCUCUCACCUCAUUCUUGCCACCAGUAUUGCUACGUUUACUCAUAGUUGCAAUGAGAAGCCAAAAAAGGCUACAACCAGCUCUUUUUUUUUUUCUUUGGGGGCCUGUCCACCUGCCUGAUACACAUGGUGAAGAUGGCAUGGCUUUAUAUAGAUAUAGAAAGAUGAAAUCAUGCGAGUCUGCUUAAACGACAAGUCUUUCUGUUAAUUACAACAAAUUGGGGAAUUUGACAAUAUUUCGUCAGGUGUUUUACAUCAGCAAUUAGCCAGAGUAAACUGAUGCACUGGAAUGGACCAGGGUGCCGAAUCUCGGCAGCCACCCGAGGCAAAUUGUUCGUCUUAUGGAUG
rnacentral:lncRNA from 1 species